rnacentral:misc_RNA from 1 species
AAGUCGUAACAAGGUAACCGUAGGUGAACCUGCGGUUGGAUCAUUACAAAUGAACCACCUUAGGGUCGAGUCUCUGCUAGCUUGCUGGCUUUGAUUCCUCUAGGGUAUAAACACCUGUGCACUGUAUCGUUUUGGACGUUGAGAGAGUAAUGUGUGAUAGGGUAAAACCGGUCCUGCUCUCGGCGUUGUCAACCAACCUAUCAAUUCAAACUGAUUUUUUUCUAUACGAAAUAAAAACAACUUUUGACAACGGAUCUCUUGGCUCUC